rnacentral:rRNA from 1 species
CUUAGAGUUUGAUCCUGGCUCAGGAUGAACGCUGGCGGUAUGCUUAACACAUGCAAGUCGAACGGACUCUUCUUAGUUAGUGGCGGACGGGUGAGUAACGCGUGAGAAUCUGGCUUCAGGUUCGGGACAACAGUUGGAAACGGCUGCUAAUACCGGAUGUGCCUUAUGGAGAAAGGUUUAUCACCUGUAGAUGACCUCGCGUCUGAUUAUCUAGUAGGUGUGGUAAGAGCGCACCUAGGCGACCAUCAGUAGCUGGUCAGAAAGGAUGAUCACCCACCCUGGGACUGAAACACCGCCCACACUCCUAGGGGAGGCAGGAGUGGGGAAUUUUCCGCAAUGGGCGAAAGCCUGACAGAGCAAUACCGCGUGAGGGAGGAAGGCUCUUGGGUUGUAAACCUCUUUUCUCAGAGAAGAAUGAUGACGGUACCUGAGGAAUAAGCAUCGGCUACCUCCGCGCCAGCAGCCGCGGUAAUACGGAGGAUGCAAGCGUUAUCCGGAAUGAUUGGGCGUAAAGCGUCCGCAGGUGGCAAUGUACGUCUGCUGUCAAAGCGUCUGGCUCAACCAGAUAGAGGCGGUGGAAACUACAUAGCUAAAGUAAGGUAGGGGUAGAGGUUAUUCCUGGUGU